GCGCAGCAGGCGCGAAAACUUUACAAUGCGGGAAACCGUGAUAAGGGAACUCCGAGUGUCCGUAAAUUCGGACUGUCCGUAUGUUUAAAAAGCAUACGAAGAAAGGGCCGGGCAAGACCGGUGCCAGCCGCCGCGGUAAUACCGGCGGCUCGAGUGGUGGCCACUAUUACUGGGCUUAAAGCGUUCGUAGCUUGGUUGUUAAGUCUCUUGGGAAAUCUAUCGGCUUAACCGAUAGGCGUCCAGGGGAUACUGGCAAUCUAGGGACCGGGAGAGGUGAGGGGUACUUCAGGGGUAGGAGUGAAAUCCUGUAAUCCUUGGGGGACCACCUGUGGCGAAGGCGCCUCACCAGAACGGCUCCGACAGUGAGGGACGAAAGCUGGGGGAGCAAACCGGAUUAGAUACCCGGGUAGUCCCAGCCGUAAACGAUGCACGUUAGGUGUAUCGAUGACCACGAGUCAUCGAGGUGCCGAAGGGAAACCGUGAAACG
rnacentral:rRNA from 1 species